UACAGCCACAUCAUGUUGAAGCACCAGUUUCCAUAUGAUCACUGAAGUUAAGCAAUGUCUAGUCUGGUCAGUACCUAGAUGGGUGACCACUUGGAUGUACAGGUGGUGUC